CCCGCAUAGCAAAAUACAGUUUGCCAUACUUUCCAAACAGAAAGUAUCCUCUAACUGUUACUGUUACUUUAAGACAAACGUUUGGUUUUCUGUUUAACAAUAUGAAGCCUGACGCUACACACCAUAGAGAACGUCUUUGAUAAUGUAUACCAACUAGUAACAGUAUGUUAUAAUGUCGGUACAUUGUUUGACGUUAUGGAAAUAAAACUCGUGAGAAAUGGUGGCACUAUGGCAUCACCUCAAGUCAAACGGUCUGUACUCGCAGUAGCGCAACACACUAUCACAUAUGAGUUUCACAAUACAGUACUUAUGCUCAACAAUCUGUCAUAUGAUUAGAAGCAUUUGUAUUUGUAAAUGAAAUAUCCUAAGGUUUGCCGCUGCGCUGUCUGUCAGAUUAUUCAAGAAAAAAAAGCAAAAAGUGCAAAUCUUGGAUUUCCGAACAAUUAAAAAAUACUUUGUCUCCGGCUCAACUGCGGAAUUUUAAAGUGCCUCCUAAACCGGAAUCGAAAGGUGGUGGGCCACAGGUCAUCGUGGCGGGCUGGCGCAACAGGCAACAAAAUUAAAGAUUGUUACCGACACAUUCCGGCGAAAUGACCAACGAAGUGGACUUCGGUGACACUCGGUUCCCUUUCGAAAGGAUGUCCGGUUUCCUCAUCUCGCUGCAAGAGCCGUAAGUGGCACUUCCAGGCCCGUAGGAAGCAGAUGUCGGUGCUCCUAUCUAAGAAUGGAACAAACGUGUACGUCGGUGUGCAUAAUCGUGAAGCUGAAGGUGGACAAUAAUCGCAAGAGGGUCCUGGACAAACGUGCUGCCGGAAUCCGGGCGGCGUUGUCGAAGGAGAAGGACAAGUGCACCAAGUUUUUAUGUCUCCACUGCCUUCUCACCAACAGUCGGAACCUGCCGGAAUGGCACCGCCGAAGCAUGUUCAUUGUUGCCACUAGCGGGAAGGAGAAAUGCGUGCCAUUAUUUGUAAUUCGUAUAAGUAAUAAGUGUUAUUCAUCUUCCCUUAAUAAACAAUCAUUAAUAUUUGGAGAAAUAUUUUUGUUUGUGUACUGCUCAAAACCAUCAUCCUGUUUGAUUUAUUGUAAAUAAUCAAAUUAAACAGGAUGAUAGUUCAUUUCCAAGUUUUAAUAAUUGUUUGAAAAAAGUUUAAAUACAGUAGAACCAUAUAUCAUACGUUUAAAAUACCAUGGAAGACCAUAAAUCAAUAAUAGCAUAUACAGUGUUCGUUUUUCAUCAAAUAUUAUGGUUAAACUGUUCUCUAA